rnacentral:rRNA from 1 species
CCCCUAGAUGUUCUGGGCCGCACGCGCGCUACACUGAACAGUUCUACAAGUCUUAACCUUGGCCGAUAGGUCUGGGUAAUCUUUGAACGCUGUUCGUGAUUGGGAUAGACCUUUGCAAUUAUGGGUCUUCAACGAGGAAUUCCUAGUAAACGCAAGUCAUCAGCUUGCAUUGAUUACGUCCCUGCCCUUUGUACACACCGCCCGUCGCACCUACCGAUUGAAUGGUCCGGUGAAAUCUCGGGACGGCGGCUUGGUCGCUUGCGUCCGACUGCUGAAACUUGAUUAAACCAUAUCAUUUAGAGGAAGGUGAANUCGUAACA